rnacentral:rRNA from 1 species
GACGAACGCUGGCGGCGUGCUUAACACAUGCAAGUCUAACGGAAAGGCCCUGCUUUUGUGGGGUGCUCGAGUGGCGAACGGGUGAGUAACACGUGAGUAACCUGCCCUUGACUUUGGGAUAACUUCAGGAAACUGGGGCUAAUACCGGAUAGGAGCUCCUGCUGCAUGGUGGGGGUUGAAAAGUUUCGGCGGUUGGGGAUGGACUCGCGGCUUAUCAGCUUGUUGGUGGGGUAGUGGCUUACCAAGGCUUUGACGGGUAGCCGGCCUGAGAGGGUGACCGGCCACAUUGGGACUGAGAUACGGCCCAGACUCCUACGGGAGGCAGCAGUGGGGAAUAUUGCACAAUGGGCGGAAGCCUGAUGCAGCAACGCCGCGUGCGGGAUGACGGCCUUCGGGUUGUAAACCGCUUUCGCCUGUGACGAAGCGUGAGUGACGGUAAUGGGUAAAGAAGCACCGGCUAACUACGUGCCAGCAGCCGCGGUGAUACGUAGGGUGCGAGCGUUGUCCGGAUUUAUUGGGCGUAAAGGGCUCGUAGGUGGUUGAUCGCGUCGGAAGUGUAAUCUUGGGGCUUAACCCUGAGCGUGCUUUCGAUACGGGUUGACUUGAGGAAGGUAGGGGAGAAUGGAAUUCCUGGUGGAGCGGUGGAAUGCGCAGAUAUCAGGAGGAACACCAGUGGCGAAGGCGGUUCUCUGGGCCUUUCCUGACGCUGAGGAGCGAAAGCGUGGGGAGCGAACAGGCUUAGAUACCCUGGUAGUCCACGCUGUAAACGGUGGGUACUAGGUGUGGGGUCCAUUCCACGGGUUCCGUGCCGUAGCUAACGCUUUAAGUACCCCGCCUGGGGAGUACGGCCGCAAGGCUAAAACUCAAAGGAAUUGACGGGGCCCCGCACAAGCGGCGGAGCAUGCGGAUUAAUUCGAUGCAACGCGUAGAACCUUACCUGGGUUUGACAUGGAUCGGGAGUGCUCAGAGAUGGGUGUGCCUCUUUUGGGGUCGGUUCACAGGUGGUGCAUGGCUGUCGUCAGCUCGUGUCGUGAGAUGUUGGGUUAAGUCCCGCAACGAGCGCAACCCUUGUUCACUGUUGCCAGCACGUUAUGGUGGGGACUCAGUGGAGACCGCCGGGGUCAACUCGGAGGAAGGUGGGGAUGACGUCAAGUCAUCAUGCCCCUUAUGUCCAGGGCUUCACGCAUGCUACAAUGGCUGGUACAGAGAGUGGCGAGCCUGUGAGGGUGAGCGAAUCUCGGAAAGCCGGUCUCAGUUCGGAUUGGGGUCUGCAACUCGACCUCAUGAAGUCGGAGUCGCUAGUAAUCGCAGAUCAGCAACGCUGCGGUGAAUACGUUCCCGGGGCU